rnacentral:rRNA from 1 species
AACGAACGCUGGCGGCAUGCCUAACACAUGCAAGUCGAACGAGAUCUUCGGGUCUAGUGGCGCAUGGGUGCGUAACGCGUGGGAAUCUGCCCUUUGGUUCGGAAUAACAGUUGGAAACGACUGCUAAUACCGGAUGAUGACGAAAGUCCAAAGAUUUAUCGCCAGAGGAUGAGCCCGCGUUGGAUUAGCUAGUUGGUGUGGUAAAGGCGCACCAAGGCGACGAUCCUUAGCUGGUCUGAGAGGAUGAUCAGCCACACUGGGACUGAGACACGGCCCAGACUCCUACGGGAGGCAGCAGUGGGGAAUAUUGGACAAUGGGCGAAAGCCUGAUCCAGCAAUGCCGCGUGAGUGAUGAAGGCCUUAGGGUUGUAAAGCUCUUUUACCCGGGAUGAUAAUGACAGUACCGGGAGAAUAAGCUCCGGCUAACUCCGUGCCAGCCGCCGCGGUAA